GGAGCUGUGGAUGAGAAUGGCUGGUUUCAGGGAGAGCUGACAGAUGGCACAAGAGGACUGGUCCCAUCCAUUUGGUUGCGGAGGUUUCAGAUGAUGAACUGGAUACAACGAUGCCUCCGGAGCUCUGUGCUCUCCUGCUGGAUACUUGAUGAAUAAGUGGAUGCAGAGAUUCCAUCAUGCAGCAACAUCCUGUCAAAAUUCCUGCGUUACUCCAUCUGCAAGACUACCCCCUGCUCCACUUGAUGUUCAGGUGGAGUGUGUGCAGGACGUGGAUGAGCUCCUUUGGGAACACUCUGAGGUGACUGACAGUGUAACUGCAUAGUCUUGUGGUAUAUUAAACAAACAAACAAACACCACCCACAAUAAAACAACAACCAACCAACCCAAAAGCGCUGCUCUUUUUCUUGGAUACACUGAGGUGAUCCUUUUUCUAGCUGAGACUUUGCAAUGAGUCUUGAAGCAGAUUUGAGCCGGUAGAAGUUGGCAGUGUCUGCAUUCCGUUCUCCUGAUUUCCUUGCUGGUCAGAGUUAAGGUGCCAUGCAUCCAUUCCCCAGCCCUAGCUGUCUCCUGAAUCAUGAGAACAGCCUUUCCAUAUUGUGGAAAGAACUGGAGUGGAUUCACGCUGAAGGACAAGAUGCUUGCAGACACGUAAGCUCAAGAAGAGAAUGCAGAGUCCAUGGAAACUCGCUGCCAAACAACGAUGAGAAAGUAGAAUAGGCUCCUGUUGUUGAAGAUGGGACGGUGAAACAGAUGUCUCAGCUCAACACAACGCCAGUAGGAGCUGGUUCGGGCUACCCCCCCUUAAAAGGUCGGAAGUUCACAGCGAGGUAGACUACGAGCCUUCAUCCACUGACCGCCAGAGACCCCCACCACAUUUUUAGGACGCGUGCUCAAGAGGGAGGAGAUAUCCCCCCCCGCACCCGGCGCCGUAAUGAGCGUACCUGCUUUGUAACCUUACGUGGGUUCCAGAGUUUGAUUCCACACGUCACUCCCUUCACUAUUAAGAGGACAAAGAACUUCUGGCACAGAAGGAUGCCCACCUGCAAGGCUCAAAUUGCACGCUGCUUCCUCCCUCUCUGCUCAGUAAAACUCUGUGUUGGGCUCAUUUGGAAGGAAGGUUUGGUGUUCUGACUUCCUGGACAGUUGUUACCUAAAGCCUGGAGUGCCUGUGUCAACUGUGGCGGUGCAACUGCCACACCUUCUCUCCCCCUUCUCUCAGGCCUCUCGGUGCACCACUUCUCCUGAGACAAAAGGCGGAG
ensembl:lncRNA